rnacentral:rRNA from 1 species
AUUGAACGCUGGCGGCAUGCCUAAUACAUGCAAGUCGAGGGGCAGCAGGGUGUAGCAAUACAUCGCUGGCGACCGGCGCACGGGUGCGUAACACGUAUGCAACCUACCUUUAACUGGGGAAUAGCCCUCCGAAAGGAGGAUUAACACCGCAUAACAUCACGAGACGGCAUCGCCUUGUGAUCAAACCUCCGGGGGUUAAAGAUGGGCAUGCGUCCGAUUAGCUAGUUGGCGGGGUAACGGCCCACCAAGGCGACGAUCGGUAGGGGGUCUGAGAGGAUGAUCCCCCACACUGGUACUGAGACACGGACCAGACUCCUACGGGAGGCAGCAGUAAGGAAUAUUGGACAAUGGUCGCAAGACUGAUCCAGCCAUGCCGCGUGCAGGAUGAACGAUCUAUGAUCUGUAAACUGCUUUUGUUCGGGAAUAAACCCCUUACGUGUGGAGGGCUGAAUGUACCGAAAG